rnacentral:rRNA from 1 species
UACAGAGGGUGCAAGCGUUGUUCGGAAUUAUUGGGCGUAAAGCGCGUGUAGGCGGCUUGUUAAGUCGGGUGUGAAAGCCCUCAGCUCAACUGAGGAAGUGCGCCCGAAACUGGCGAGCUUGAGUGUCGGAGAGGAUGGCGGAAUACCCCAAGUAGAGGUGAAAUUCGUAGAUAUUGGGAAGAACACCGGUGGCGAAGGCGGCUCACUGGCUCGUAACUGACGCUAAUGCACGACAGCGUGGGGAUCAAACAGG